rnacentral:misc_RNA from 1 species
AUGUCAGAUGGGAUUGACGGCGGCGGCGGGGAAAACGAGGUAGAUUCUCAUUCCUCUUCGCAUGCCGAAGCCGGAGACUCUACGAGUCACAGAGAGGACGACGCGUUAGAUCCUGACAAUGAAGCUGCCUUGAACACAAAUUAUGACAGCAGCGACGGUGCCGUGCCUGCCUUUAGAUGCGAACGCUGCGAUAACUAUGAAACUAUAAAUAAAACAGCAUUUUGUGCACACCAAGAUCAGUGUUUAAUCGGUGGUGACGCUGGUGAGGGAACCGAGGGUAUCGAAGGCGUGGAAAAUGAUGGCGACUUGGAAGAAGGCCACUCCGGGCAUAGGUCCCACCGGAAGAUGUUCGAAUGCGAUGUCUGCAACAUGAAAUUUUCUAAUGGGGCCAACAUGAGGCGGCAUAAAAUGAGGCAUACGGGGGUCAAACCGUACGAAUGCCGGGUGUGUCAGAAAAGGUUCUUCAGGAAAGACCACCUGGCGGAGCACUUUACGACUCAUUCAAAGACAUUGCCUUAUCACUGUCCAAUAUGCAAUCGAGGUUUCCAGCGACAGAUCGCGAUGCGAGCGCAUUUCCAAAAUGAGCACGUCGGCCAGCACGACAUGGUGAAAUCGUGUCCACUCUGCAACUACCGAGCAGCCACCAUGAAGUGUCUCAGAUUGCAUUUCUUUAAUAGGCAUGGUAUAGAUUUGGACAAUCCGGGACCCAAUGGUAGUUCCUCGUCGGUGAUGAACAGCUGUACUCCGAGCGAAGCAAUGUCAUCGGCUCCCCUAUCGGACAGUGGGGACAGCACAGGGAAUCGUUCGGCUGACAAUGCCACUCCACCAAUGCACUUUCUGACACCUCACGUGGAGAUAUCCAUUCCUUACCCGGAGCAAGCCGCAGGCCAGGGAAAUUCGAGUCCGGCACCCUUGAACGGAGACAGUCCCAACAGUCCCCAGAGUGCGGACAGCAACAGCAAUGCCCCGAGCAGUAGUCACCACCAUCAGCUGGCAAUUAACAGCACGGUAGUCCACAGGAACGUAGGUGGAGGCGAGGAAACGAUCACGCCCUCCAUUUCCCUGAUCCCUAUAAAGCAAGAGCCCAACAGCAACGGGCUGGACGAGAACGGUGCGACGUCGAGCAGUUUACCCCUGCCAUCGUUGAUCAAGGUCUCUCCGUUGAAGUCUCUACUCCGAGACGACCUGCGUCGAAAGCUCUCCACCAGCUCGAACAGCAGCACGGGCAACAACCACAGCGGAGGGCUCAAUCCUGGAAAUAAUAACAACAACAACAAGAGCGUCAACAAUAACAAUACGGGGAACAACAACAACAAUACCAGUAGUUGUUUAAACUCCAGCCCUCAUUCCAGAGGCGAGCCUCCAACGUCGACCAGGCCCGACCCGCGCACCACCGGCCUCCAGUGCACCCACUGCAGGAUUACCUUCCCCGACCAGACGCUCUACUUUCUGCACAAGGGAUGCCACAGCGAGAGCAACCCCUGGAAGUGCAACAUUUGCGGCGAGCAGUGCUGCAACCUCUACCAAUUCAAUUCGCAUUUACUGAGCAAAAGCCAUCAGUAACCGAGGGGGGCGACGAGAGGAGCGUCGAGUGGCGUCCGAUCGUUUUCGAUCGCUUUCGAGGCGUCCGGGGCGUAGAUUGUCCUCCGCGUACCGUAGUUUACGCACUCGGGAGAUGUAGACGCGUCUCGGGAGCCGCAUCUCGGGCGAGGCCGGACGUCAAGCGACGAAGAGGAGUCCGGCGUCGCCCGAGUUCGCCGGUUCCCGUGGUCGCGCAAUCUCCGACCUCGUUAGACCGUACCACUAGCGAGGCAGAUCGUGCCUUUCCCGAAUUUCCUUUCGUCGUUGAUUUCCUUUUGUACAGAGAAGAGAGAGAGAGAGAGGAGGGAGAGGAAUUAACGCAAUUGCCAACUCACUCGUCCAUCAAUUCGUGAUGUCAGCAAGUGAACGAUCCGUCCAGAGGGGCUUUACCGAUUUAUUCCGAGCUGUAUCCGUAGCGUGUAGUUAGCGUAGUAGUAUUUAGAUAGGCGGCUCGGCCGGUAAUCCACGAAGAGCCCGAUCCCUAGGGAGUAGUUUCCUCGAAGGAAAGAGAACGACGAGGCUCCAUGGCCGCUUAUAAGGCGGGCCUCGAGUAGUCUUAGGAAAUUGUCUGUAAAUUUUGUGCGGGGCCUCGGGAGGCUCGAGUUCGCGGCUCGAGUCUUCCGGCUGCAAUCGGAGCUCCGUUAUAGCGCUGACGAGGUGCAAUAGUCGGACGAGGACGUUCCAGUGCCCUCGAAGAGGGUGUCUGUAAUUAGGGGAAAGCGGGGAAAACGUCGUUAUGACGGAGCUCCAUCGUAGGACGUGCUAACGCGCCCCGAACCCUGCCUUUCUCGCGCCUGGCCGAGACCUCGAAGAGCUUCGUGCAAUUUCGGAUGACUCCGAACGCGGAUUAUUCCACGGGACGCCGCGAGGGUGAGACGGGUGGGACUCCUCUCGAGGAGGAGUCCCCCGGGUCCACGCGACCGGCGGAGGAAAGCGUCGAGCCCUCCUGCCCGAGAUGAAUAUUUUGAUAUAUAUAUAAAUAUUUGUACAGGAGAGUAUUACGAGGAGGGUUGCGAGAGUGUAACAGUACACGCGCGUGCACGGUGCGACCGAGUAGUACAAAGGAGGGUAGUCGAUCGGGGACCCGCGGUGAGCGUCCGCGGUAAGGUCCAAAAUCCCGAGACCAGACGCGGGAAUUUCGACCUUAUCGCGGCCGGGUCUCGGAUGAGACUUCGCUCGGAUGGGCACACGCGGGUGCCCCCCAGUGCGUGCCUGCGUACCUGGCUGCGGGUGUGCGCUCGGUACCGAGUGGGUCGUCGGGUGUGCGCGCACGGAGGGUCUUUUAAACCCUCCCUCGGUGCGCGUACACCCCGGAACCGUCGACAAAUGUAUAUUAUUUAUUAAUCCCAAGGUGUUAACGCGUAGGACGCGCCCUAAUCGCGAGUGCGUGCGCUCGCACCUGUCAGGUACCAAAACGCGGACAUAAAGCGCGCUAGUGUUUCAAAUCGGCCGUCUAGCAAUUUGGCCGGGCAUCCGUGUUAUAUCGAGUUAUAUUAUUUAAUGUCACGUCGCCGAUCACACAUCGUCCAUCCUCAUCGCCAUCGUCGCCAUUAUCAUUAGCUAGCUCUUAAGUAAUUUAUUGCCUUGCAUUCCAAGAUUUUAGGACGCACGGACGGCACUCCGGGAGGACGUCUCUGCGUGGAAAGGAGAAAGAUUAUGUCGGACGAGAGAGAAGGGUGCUUAUUAUAUUUUUUUUUUUUUCCCCCUUUUUGUUUUUCACCGUGGAAAUGUGACACUCGACUGAAUAGAGAGUCUGGGACGAACGGGCUGGAUCCGAUAUAACGCGAGCGUUUAGGAGGACGGAGGCUAGACCUCGGCGAGAUCGGGAGCGAGGUCGCAAGUCGGACUUUUAUUUUAACCGUCGAAUCUAAUGGUCAAGGACCGUUCCCAGUCGGGCUGCGGAUGCUUUUCGCAUGCCAGGUUAUUUAUAUAUAAUUAUGGGCACAUUUAUUUCCACGUUUUAUCGUCAAUGUCCGGGCCGCGGUACCGAUCCCUCGCCGUUCUCGGCCGAACCUAGCAUCAUUCGCCACGAAUUACCUUUUUAGAAUUACCUCUAACGUAACGAACAGCGUGUUCAUCAUAUUUUUCUGAGUGUUUCGACGCAAACCGCGGGGAGCAUUUUAAAGUGCCUGAUCGGAACGAUCGCCUCGUAUCUGGCGGCGCGUAGAAGUCGCGCGUGUAGAUAGGGAUGCGAUAAAUUGUUGAUAAGAGAGGAGCGAUCCGAACGGCGGAUCGGAGCGAGAGGUCGGAAGAGAGAACCGCGCGGGGAUUGAAAAUCCCCGGAAAAUUUCUUCGGGUUACGCGAGAUACGAUAUAAUAUAUAUGUUACAUAUGUAUAUUGGUACCAGAGAUAUACGCGUGCUCGACGCCACGUUCGAGUUCGAGAAGCGCCUUACACUGUGAUCACGUUUACAAAGAACAUAGUCUUAAAGUUAUAGAGAAUAAUAGGAGGUAGAGGAGCUACGAGCGCGUAGGUGUGCGAAAAUAUGAUGAAUGCAACCUCCGUAGGCCUUAGGUGCACCCCUACCCGUAGCGGAUGUUUCUCUUCGGUACAUAGUAUAUAUAUAUAUAUAAAU